UUUUGGAUUGUUGGGUAGGGGAGCGUCGUGUGGCCGUUGAAGCUGCGGUGUAAACCAGUGGUGGAGGCUAUGCGAGUGAGAAUGCAGGCAUGAGUAGCGAAAGAUGAGUGAGAAACUCAUCCGCCGGAUGAUCAAGGGUUCCAGGGUCAAGUUAAUCUGCCCUGGGUUAGUCGGGGCCUAAGGCGAGGCCGACAGGCGUAGUCGAUGGAUAACGGGUUGAUAUUCCCGUACCGGUGAAGAACCGCCCAUACUGAUAUUGUGAUGCUAACCAUGCGAAGCAUGAUGUGCAGGCUUUUGUUUGUGUGUUGUGUGGGUUGUGGGACCCGAUCUUUGGAGGUAAACGUGUUAACAGGUGUGACGCAGGAAGGUAGCCAAGCCACGCGAUGGUUGUCGUGGUCUAAGCGUGUAGGGUUGUCGGUUGUUAAAUGCGCCGGCUGUGUGCCUGAGACGUGAUGGGACCCUGUUUUUGGGGGAUUUGGUGAUCCUAUGCUGCCGAGAAAAGCAUCGGCGUGAGGUUUUAGCCGCCCGUACCCUAAACCGACACAGGUGAUCAGGUAGAGAAUACUAAGGCGAUCGAGAGAAUCAUGGUUAAGGAACUCGGCAAAAUGCCCCCGUAACUUCGGGAGAAGGGGGACCUUGAGCGUGAUGGGCACUUGCUGUCUGGAGCGUGUAUGGGUCGCAGAGACCAGGGGGAAGCGACUGUUUAUCAAAAACACAGGUCCGUGCGAAGUCGUAAGACGAUGUAUACGGACUGACUCCUGCCCGGUGCUGGAAGGUUAAGAGGAUUGGUUAGCUCUUUUGGGCGAAGCUGAGAAUUUAAGCCCCAGUAAACGGCGGUGGUAACUAUAACCAUCCUAAGGUAGCGAAAUUCCUUGUCGGGUAAGUUCCGACCUGCACGAAUGGAGUAACGACUUCCCUACUGUCUCAACCAUGAACUCGGCGAAAUUGCAGUACGAGUAAAGAUGCUCGUUUCGCGCAGCAGGACGGAAAGACCCCGUGACCUUUACUAUAGUUUGGUAUUGGUGUUUGGUUUGGCUUGUGUAGGAUAGGUGGGAGACUGUGAAGCAUGGACGCUAGUUUGUGUGGAGUCGUUGUUGAAAUACCACUCUGGUCAAUCUGGAUGUCUAACUUCGGGCCAUGAUCUGGUUCAGGGACAGUGCCUGAUGGGUAGUUUAACUGGGGCGGUUGCCUCCUAAAGUGUAACGGAGGCGCCCAAAGGUUCCCUCAGCCUGGUUGGCAAUCAGGUGUUGAGUGUAAGUGCACAAGGGAGCUUGACUGUGAGACUGGCAGGUCGAGCAGGGACGAAAGUCGGGACUAGUGAUCCGGCGGUACGUUGUGGAACGGCCGUCGCUCAACGGAUAAAAGGUACCUCGGGGAUAACAGGCUGAUCUUGCCCAAGAGUCCAUAUCGACGGCAUGGUUUGGCACCUCGAUGUCGGCUCGUCGCAUCCUGGGGCUGGAGUCGGUCCCAAGGGUUGGGCUGUUCGCCCAUUAAAGCGGUACGCGAGCUGGGUUCAGAACGUCGUGAGACAGUUCGGUCCCUAUCCGCUGCGCGCGUUGGAAAUUUGAGAAAGGCUGUCCUUAGUACGAGAGGACCGGGACGGACGAACCUCUGGUAUGUCAGUUGUACCGCCAGGUGCAUGGCUGAUUGGCUACGUUCGGGAGGGAUAACCGCUGAAAGCAUCUAAGCGGGAAGCCUGUUUCGAGAUGAGAUUUCCUGGCACUUUUUGGUGUGUGAGGCUCCUUAUAGAUGAUGAGGUUGAUAGGCCGGGUAUGGAAGCGGGGACUGAAGACUCGUGGAGUUGACUGGUACUAAUAGGCUGAAGGCUUA
rnacentral:rRNA from 1 species